CAGAAGGUAGUUUAAUGAUAGAACCCUAGCUUUGGGAGUUAGGGGCGAGAGUUUGAGUCUCUCCUUUCUGA
rnacentral:tRNA from 1 species